UUUAUUUAUUAUAUACAUUUUAUAUAUCAGUGUCCAUAUUAUAAUUCUUUUUAGCAGGACAGGGGUGUCAAACUCUUUAUGCAUCAGGCCACACUUAGACGGGGGAAAAAUCAAUUGAGUGACAAAUAACACAAUCAGCAAGUCCUCUUAAAUGUGUUGAUUUGAUCAACUCUUAUCUUAAUGUUACAUUCUGAAUGCACAAAUGGAUUUUUUUUUUUAAAUCAUCAACAAAAUUAUUUACAAAUAUUACAAAAUGUACAUUUUGUGAUUGCAUAAGUAUUCGCCCUUGUUGCUGUGAAACCCAUACUUUAGUUAUUUUGGAAAGAAACAUGCUUAAAGCAUCAGCUUUUUAGCUUGCUAAUCAAGAAUUAUAUCAUUAGCACAUUUUGUCAGGAGAUGAGUUUAUUGCUAUUUUGCUUCCUAGUGGUAUAACUAAUUGAUUUAGAUGAAAUUUAGUACACAGACUCUUCAUUUGCUGGAUUGGAUUCAUUUGCUGGAUUAGAUUAUAACCUUUAUCAGGCCACAUGUUUGACACUAGGAUUCUUUGGUUGUUCCCUCUGGAGGAGCCCUUAAAGAUUCUAUGUAGAACUCUAAUAUGAUUUGGUUUACUUUUCAGAAAAGCUUCCUGGAAGCACAUCUUUAUGAAGCUAGAACCCUUAACCUUCCACCAAACCCUUGAGGAACUCUUUCUAACAGUAGGCUAGAACACCUGGAUGCUAGUCCAAGAGGCAGAGCUUUCUGAACUGACAGUCCAAGGCCAACAGUUCGAGGACAUCUGAACAUCACACACACAUGUGGUCCUUUCCCAACUGUUGGAAGCACAUAAUUGUACAGGAUGUCUUUGUAUGCUGUAGCAUUCCAUUUUCUCUGGAACUAAAAGGCCCAGACAUAUACUGUAUGAGACGGUCUGGGAAUAGUCAUUGGCUGUUUGUGUAAUGAAAUUAUCACAAAUAGGCAACAAUUGUAUCACAGUAGACAUUUUGACAGCUAGUAAUUACAAACUGAAUUGACUUGGCUUAUUUCGCUACAACACAUAGCUGUGCUACAACUUCAUCAAGGUGUGACCUUCACUGUGUGAGUAAAUCACACUUGGUUAGCAAUGUUUUAGCUAUCUUUAAGCAGACUGACUCUUUUCUGGCUCCUUACCCAACAUGAGCUUUGCAGGAAGAUAGCCUAGAGAAGAUAAAUUUAAAAAAUAAAUAAAAGUAUAUUCAUAUUGUUUUAGUGAUAUAUGUUUAUGGUUUCUUAAUUUUGCGAUGCAACUUGUUUAGUUUUUUGUACUUUUUUGCAGAAAAUUGCAAUAAAUUGUUUUGCAAUGACCCUGUUAGUUUGUUGGUAAAUGAGACCUUUUAGCUGUUCAACAUUUCAUCAAUUUACUGUCCUGCAAUGUUCGACGCAUGUGAAUCGAAGAGGGUUUUGGCCGAAUGCGUGUUGUGAUGACGUCACACGCCGUGUCUUAGCCCAAAACUAUGGAAAAUCUUGUAAAAAGUAAUUUUGAAAAAUUGCAAGCUUCUCAGAAUAUUGCAGUUUGCUUGAUUUUACAUUAAUUUCUGUAAUCACAAAGUUCUGAUCACAAAAUAUUAAAUAAUAUGCUAAUACGUGGUUGUAUUUUUGCUGAAUGCACAAUUAUAUGUUCCUAAUAUACCAG
ensembl:lncRNA